GCAGCCAUGCUCCUAACACGCACUGGAAUGCCACUGUUGAUGAAUGCGUGUGUGACCAUGGGUGGUACUUGGAUGAAGGAACUGCCCAAUGCUCCCGAUGUGUUGAGUGUUGCCCAGGCAACGAAAUUAAAAUUCCAGCUUGUGUUGCCCAAAAUCUUGGCGACAAGAUAUGUACGGAAGUUAAACCGUGUGACUUGCCUGAACCAACCACAGAUUAUGAAUCAGCACUGCCUACCAGACUGAAGGUCGGAAUUAGUAUUGGUGUUGUAAUUACUAUAAUAUCCGUAGUAUUAAUAUCAUUAUUUAUUUAUAAUAAAGGUGGUAAAUGCUGCAAUAGAAUCAGUUAUUACUACACAAAACAAGGAGGAGAACAGCCAGAUGAUGAAUAAUUAGUGCCGCCAGAUCAAUAAUAUUUCUCGGGUUUGCAUACAAGUUUGAUUUGCGAACGCCAUGAGUUGAAUUCAGUGUUCAUCUACUAAUUUAUUAAAUAAAAGAAGCAAAAUACACAAAUUUUCCCCCAGAAAUAAUUUGACAUUUUACGUAGAGAAUCCAUACAUACC